rnacentral:rRNA from 1 species
UACGGAGGAUCCAAGCGUUAUCCGGAUUUAUUGGGUUUAAAGGGUGCGUAGGCGGAAUGAUAAGUCAGUGGUGAAAGCCUGCAGCUUAACUGCAGAACUGCCAUUGAUACUGUCAAUCUUGAGUACAUUUGAUGUGGGCGGAAUGUGUCAUGUAGCGGUGAAAUGCUUAGAUAUGACACAGAACACCGAUUGCGAAGGCAGCUCACAAAACUGUAAACUGA